AAAAAUGAGUGUUUUUAAACACUCCUAUUGGGAGGCUGGGUGCCAGUCAGUGUCAGCUCUCAGGAAGGGAACUGGGCAAAGGGAUUUCUGUCCUUUUUGGAUUUGUGUACCCACUUGUUUUGGACAGAAGAGGCUGGGUUAUGCUACAGGAACAAACCUCCAUGAUCUCAGUGGCCUAAGUUCAUGAAGCCUUUUUCUUGCUUAAGUUAAAUAUCCAUGAAGUGGAGAGGGGCAGUCUAUACCCAGUCCUCACUAAGGGACACAGGCUGACACAGACCCCUGUCUGGAACAUUGACCACAGGGUCAAGGCAGUGAUGACGCACGUUGUUCCCUGGCCGUUAAAGCUUGUACCUGGCAGGGAUGUGUCACUUUCACUCCCAUUUCAUUGGCCAAAGCA
rnacentral:lncRNA from 10 species